CCCUUAGAUGUUCUGGGCGGCACGCGCACUACAAUGGCGUGUGCAGCGAGUGCCGAAGUAGAGUUUUCCGAGGUAUUCUUGCAAUGCUCGUUUUGAUGGGGAUAGACCCUUGCAACUGUUGGUUUUGAACGAGGAAUUCCUUGUAAGCAUGGUUUAUCAUCCGACGCUGAAUGCGUCCCUGCCCUUUGUACACACCGCCCGUCGCUCCUACCGAUGAGUCGUCCGGUGAAGUUCGUAGACCUCGUGAUCGCGGAUCACUGGGGGAAGCAAAAUGAACCUCGCGGUUUAGAGGAAGGAGAAGUCGUAACA
rnacentral:rRNA from 1 species